rnacentral:tRNA from 1 species
GCCCCCGUAGCUCAAUGGAUAGAGUGCCUGACUUCGAAUCAGUAGGUUGAGAGUCCGAUUCUCUCCGGGGGCGCCU